UGGCAAUCGGCUGCACAAACUCUCAUAGUCUGGUGAGAGUUUUCCCUGCUUCAGCAGAAGGUAUGGCCCAGAUGUGUGUACCACCAUGCCUGGAUUUGGAGCUCACAGUCCCAAGCUGGCCUUGAAAUCAGAUCUCCUUGCCUCAGUCUCCUGGGAUUAAAGCAACUCCUGUCUGGGCCUAAGCUUUGCAUGGUCACUGUGCCUCAAGAUCUGAAUCAAAAGUGUGUGUCAUCUCCUGUCAGAGCUUGUGCCAUCCACUCUCAAGAUCUGGAUCACAGGUGAAGGCUGCAGUGAAGACCAGCGGAAGCCAGAAUUUAUGAAUG
rnacentral:lncRNA from 1 species